rnacentral:misc_RNA from 1 species
AAAAAAAAAAAAAAAAAGGAACAACAAAGUUCCCUUCCUGUCACCAACAUCAUAGCUCAAGCAUUUGAUGUGGGAUAACCUUGAAAUUCAGAGAUCAUGGAUUGGCUUGCUGGUGGGAUGGGGGGUGGGGGGUGGUUGUGGGAUGGAGGGAUGAUUGGAAGGAAGGUUUAGAAUGGAGAUAUUUUGGUUUAGGAAGCUAAGACUAAGUACAGGGCUAAGAAUCUGAUUUUCUUAAGAAUUAUAUUGGGAUGCAGUUCACGAAUAUGUGAAGAUUAUGGAUGUAUAAAAUGAAUCAACAGGGAUCUAUAAUGAGCACACAUGCAUGCAUAAUUUUAGAGAGAGAGAGAGGGAGAGAGAGGGAAAUGAAACGCAGAAACAGAAAACAGAAAAAAAGCGGCUUUUGAAAACCCUAACACUAGUCCUCCUUGUCCCCGUUCUCAUUGACACAUCUCUUAAUUUAAUCCUGGUUUCGUUACAGCCUUUAUUUUAAGGGUGACAAUAUCUGGGGAAGCCUUAUUGAUAAGCAUGCUGAUACGUUUGUCAUCAGGAUACAACAAAGUGUCAGUUUGGGAAGCAUUGAUAAAGAGUUUAUACACUAACAAAGUGAACCUUUUGAGGAAGCGGCAUAUAUUCUUCCUAUUAUUUAUCUUUUGUUUUUGAAACAAUAAGAGAAAGGUUGUUCAUUUUUGAGACAUUCCAAAUAAGCUUUCACAGCCAUUAUCAGAUGUCAGAAGGCAGUAUGGCUGUUGUGAAACCUGAGAUGAAGUCUUACAUUUGGCUCCAAACUGCUGAUGGUUCAAUCCAACAAGUAGAAGAAGAGGUUGCCAUGUUUUGCCCUAUGAUAUGCCGAGAAAUUCUUCAAACAGGCAUGGGUUCUUCAAAAAACUAUGCUAUAUCACUGCCUCAACGUGUGAAUCCUGCUAUCUUAGGCUUAAUACUCGACUAUUGCCGGUUUCAUCAAGUACCAGGUCGCUCUAACAAGGAGCGCAAGUCUUUUGAUGAAAAGUUCAUUCGAAUGGACAUAAAGAGACUCUGUGAGUUGACAUCUGCUGCUGACAGCCUCCAGUUGAAGCCUUUGGUUGAUCUUAAUAGUUGUGCACUUGCAAGAAUUAUUGAAGGAAAAAACCCUGAGGAGAUACGAAGAGAAGUUGGAGCCAUUGAAGAACACAACUGAUGAUCCACGAUUCCGACUUUUGAAUCGACUUUAUGCAAAGAAAAGGAAAGAAUUAAAAGAGAGACAAAAAUUAAAGAAUGUUGUGGUUGAAGAAGAGAGUGUAGAUGACCGCUCUGUUGACGAUCUUUUGUCAUUUAUUAAUGGGGAAAGUGGAGAUUCCAAAGUGAUUGAAGCUUCAAAGAAUAAAAAAAGAACCGAAGAAGAAAAGAUCAGCCAAAAAGAACUUCUUCAAAUGAAGCCAUUGUAACACAUGAUAAGGUUGGACCAACGAUGUUGCCAUCCCUUAUUUCUUUGUUGACAUACUUAGCAUGUGUUUUACUAAAAUUGUAUUUAGCAUUUCUGUAGGAUUCAAAAGUUCUCAAUUCUUUAUUCCAUAGUGCUGAGGUUAAUGAUGAAUUCC